rnacentral:rRNA from 1 species
CAGCCGUAAACUAUGCGCGUUAGGUGUAUCGGUGACCACGAGUCACCGAGGUGCCGAAGGGAAACCGUGAAACGUGCCGCCUGGGAAGUACGGUCGCAAGGCUGAAACUUAAAGGAAUUGGCGGGGAGCACCACAACGGGUGGAGCCUGCGGUUUAAUUGGACUCAACGCCGGGAAGCUCACCGGAUAAGACGGCGGAAUGAUUGCCGGGCUGAAGACUCUGCAUGACUAGCUGAGAGGAGGUGCAUGGCGUAGACGUCU